CAGCCCUUCUAAGUCCAUGUAUCUCCCAGCCCAGAGAACAUCCCUUUUUCUAUCAUGCCAAAAACCUACAAGAAUCCCAGGUGCUUCAAUGAAAUCAUUUCUCAUUCUUCUAAAUUAAU